ensembl:lncRNA
AGAAAAAGAAGACAUGAUAAGAACAGAAUUAGAAAAAGCAAGAGAUGUCCUAAAUCACAUUAGACAGGAUAUAGAAAAACAAAAACAAACCAUGGAGGCUGAUCUAAAAGACACUUUUGCUAGAGAACUAGAAGACAUCGAAGCUCAGCAAAAAAGGAUAGAGGAUGAAAAGAGAACAUUAGAGAACAUGAAAUAUGAGCUGGAAAAGGAGUCUAGUGAUGUUGAAAGGUUAAAACAGAAUGUGCAGAAAGAAAGACAGAACAUGGAGAAAUGGGCAGAGCAGCUCAAAAAAGAGAGGGAGGAACUAGAAAAGAAAAUGUGUGAUAUUCAACAAAUACAAGCACAGAUAGUGAGAGAAAAGAAAGAGCUAGAGAAUUCGAGAGAGGAGAAUGAGCAGACAUUGAAGGAGAUCAUAAUGGAGAGAGACACUCUUGAGAAACAAAAAGAUGAUUUUGAGAAUGAGAAGGAAGAAAUCAAGAAAAGAGAAAAUGAACUGCAGCAAAUGCAAGCUGAUCUUAACAGACAACAAAAAAAGUCAACUUCAGAUAAGCCAAGAGGAAAUAGCUGAAAAGCUAAAACAGGUCGAUAACAUCAUGCAGUUCACACAAAAUGAAAAAGACAGUCUUGACAGAGAGAGGGCGGCUAUAAUGGAGCAGAAGCAGCAGAUGGAGAGAAACAUGACAGAUGCACUAAACAGAGAACUGGAAACUGUGGAACUUGUGAAACAAGAGAUACUAAAUGAGAAGCGACUUAUUGAGGACUGCAGAAUAGCUUUAAUGAGAGAGAUACAAGAUUUGGAGCAAAAGAAAAUCAAUUUGGGGGCUCAGGCGGAUGAGAUAAAAUUACAAAGACAAAGUAUUGCAGAAGAGAAAAACACGUUGGAACAAACGAAAUCUUUGCUGCAAAGAGUAGCUGAAGAUACUGAGAAGCUAAGACAAGAUACACAAGCUGAAAGACAUAAAAUUAAAAACACUGCUGUGCAACUUCAGAAAGAGAGAGAUGCCAUUGUGAGUCUUGCAGAGGAGACAAAAAGGAAGAGGGAGGACCUGGACAAAAUGCAAACUGAUAUAGAAAAGCAGGAAAAAGCCAUGAAGGCUAAUCUGCAAAAAGAAGCCAGUGUCAUUGAAAAUUUAAGACAAGCUGUUCAAAAUGACAUACAAAACAUAAAAGAUAUGGAAGCCAAAAUUCUAAAAGAAAGACAAUACACUUAUAGUCUAGUUGAAGAGACUGAAAAAAGGUCAAAAGCUCUAGAUGAGCUACAUAUGGAGGUUGAAAAAGAAAAGCAAUGUGUUGAGUCUGAGAGAGAUGUGCUAGAACAGGAGAAGUUUAAGCUUAAAGAACUCAAAGAUGAAUUUGCUCAGCAAAAAGAACAGAACAGUAUUAUACUGGCAGAGAUACAGAAAGAAAGAGACAAUCUUAAGCAGUUGAUUGAAACCAUCUCAAAUCAAAGGUGCAUUGUUGAAAAUGAUAAAGAAAAUUUAAGACUGAGAGAAAAUGAACUGAAACAAAAAGAAGCAGAGAUGGAAAACAAACAAAAACAAAUAGAUGAGUUGAAGAGCAUUUUAAGGAUGGAAAAGAUGCAAGUUGAGCAGAUGCAAGCUGACCAAGAUCAACACAGGACAGCUGCACAUGAAAAAAUACAAUAUGUUAAGACUGUAAGAGAAAGAGAAGCGGCAGAUCUGGAGAAAGAGAGACAGGAAAUUGAGAAUUUGAGAGAAGAAUUGAGGGUAGAAUAUGAAAAUGUGGAGCUCCUAAAGGAAAAUCUAACUGAACAAAAAGAAGUAUUUAAAAGCCACAUGAAAUCACUGGAAAUGGAUAAGGACGACAUAGAGAAAAAUAAAGCCAAACUGCACAAAGAAUUUGAAAACUUGCAGUUUCACAGGCAAUCUUUUGAGAAAGAGAUACAGCAGGAGAGAAGCAAAACAGAGAUAGCUAGAGCAGAAGAAGAUCUUGCUGAAAAGAGAAAAAUGUAUGAUAUUGAUCGGUCAGAGAUAGAGAAGCAAACAAAUUCCCUUGAGCAAAUAAAGAUGAACAUCUCACAAGCGGAACAUGAUAUUAAAAAAGCCAAGGACAGUUUAAGACAUCAAGAAAAUGAACUGAAUAUACGUACCUCACAACUUUAUGCACAACAAAAAGAAAUAGAAGAGACUCAGGAUAUUAUCAUGAAACAGAAGAGUCAGCUUAAUGAAAAGCAGGAUGAAAUAGAAAAACAAAAGCGAGAACUGGAGAAUGUGAUGGACAGACUUGAGAAAGAGAGGACUGAUGUUAUGGAAGAAAGACAAAGAGUGAAUGACAUGCAAGUAGAACUGAAGAGGGAAAGUGAAAUAGUGGAGCUGAUGAAACAAGAAGUUCUCAGAGAAAAAGAAUCUAUUGAAAACAGCAGGAAAAUACUAAAAAGAAAUCAAGAGGAUAUUCAAGAAAAUAGAACCAUCUUAUCGCAAGAGUUUGAGACCUUAAACUACCAGAAACAAUUGAUUGGCAAAGAAAAGCAGGAAUUUUAUAAGAUGAAAACUGAGCUCCAACAGGAAAAGGAAAAUAUUGCUAAACUAAGGGAAGACAUAGAAAAUGACAGGCAGAAGGCUGAGGAAAUAGCAAACAAACUUCAAAAAGAAAAGGAAGUUAUAGAGACUUCUUUUGCAAGGCUAAGAUCAGAGGAAGCAGAUUUAAGAAAACAAAAACAAUCAAUUGAAUCUGAAAAGGAAAAGUCUGUCCUGGAGAAAACUAAAACAGAGAUAUCCAGAGCGAAAGAAGAUCUUGAGAACCAACUUGAAUCACAUAAAAGGCAAAAUGAAGUAACACUGGCUGAGAUACACAAAGAGAAACACAUUCUUGAGCAGUUAAGAAUGAACAUAUCAAGACAGAGAGAUGAUCUAGAAAAGGACAUUGAGCAAACAAGAUACAAACAAGCAGAGCUGCAAAGUCUAAAAAUGGAAAUUCAGAAACAGCAAACAGAGAUAGAUGAGCAGAAGGUGAUGAUUUCCAUGCAGAAGAGUGGGCUUAAAGACAUAAAAAUUCAAAUAGAUCAACAGAAAAAAGAGACAGAUGAAACCAAAGAACAGAUAAGGAAGGAGAGAGAUUAUAUCGAGAGGGAAAGAGCAGAAAUAAUUAAUCAAAAACAGCAUAUGGAGGUAAAUUUAAGGGAAGAACUAAAAAAGAAGAGUGAAAAGUUAGAACUGCUCAGAAAGGAGUUGUAUGAUGAAAAGGAAAGAAUUGACAACUGCAGGAAAAAAAUAAAAACAGAUAUGGAUGCUUUGGAACAAACAAAGCAUGAUGUAGUUAAAGAGUUGGAGAUUAUCAAGCUUCAGAAACAAAUGAUCGAGGAUGAGAAAAACAAGACUGAGCAGAUAAAAGCUCAGCUAAAAAGAGAAGCUGAAGACAUCGAGAAGAUAAAAGUAGUGACACAAAAUGAAAGACAGAAGCUUCAGGAAGCAACAACCCACCUUCAGAAAGAUAGAGACAAUGUUCAGAGUCUUGCAGAGGAACUUGACAAGAAAAAAGUGGCUCUAGAAAAUGUGCAACGGGAGAUAGAAAUGCAAAGGAAAGCAAAUGAGUCUAAUAAACAGAUGCAAGAAAGGGCUCUGUUUGAGCUGAAGAAAACUGUGACAGAUAUAGCAAGAGCGAAGGAGGAUCUUGAAAACCAGCUUGUUGAAGAAAGAGAAAAGAACAAGAUCACACUAGCAGAAAAAGACAUGCUUCUUCUACUGAGAGACAGUAUUUCAGAGCAACAGGAUAACAUUGCAAAUGAGAGAGAGCAAAUGAGACUUAGAGAGACUGAACUUGAACAACUCCAAGCUCUGAUUUAUAGACAGCAAGAUGAAAUGGAAGCCACACGAAAAGCUCUCACAAUGGAAAAAAGUAGACUUGAGGAGAAGAAAACUGAAAUAGAUCAAAAAUGGAGAAAAGUAAAUGAAAUCAUGGAGUUUACAACAGGAGAAAAGGCUUAUCUUGAGAAAGAGAGGUCUGAAAUGAUAGCACAGAAACACCAAAUGGAGAAUGAACUGGAGCUCUUUAAGGUGGAACUGAAUAAUGAAAAACAAUUAACUGAAGAAAGGACCCAAAUGUUAACAACAUACAAGGCUGACAUAGAAGAAAAAAGAGCAGCCCUAGAGAUAGAGAUAAAGAAGCUUGAUUAUCAUAAAAAAGCUAUUCAAGAUGAGAAGGAUAAUGUUGAACAGAUGAAAAUUGAGCUGCAAAGAGAAGCCGAUGACAUCAGAAAGCUAAAAGAUGAAACACAAAUUGAAAAACAGAGUUUGGAAAAGAUGGCAGAAGAACUUCAGAAAGAGAGAGAAGCUAUUGUUCAUCUUGCUGAAGACACAAAAAGAAAAAAUGAGAUUCUGGGUGAAAUGAAAGCUGCAAAUGAUUCUUCAAUGGCAGAUCUACAAAGAGAGAAACACAAUCUUGAGCAAAUGAGAGUGAACAUCUCAAAACAAACUGAUGAUAUUGAAAAUGAGAAAGAGAAAAUGAGACUCAGAGAGGAUGAACUGCAGCAACUGCAAGCAGAGAUUCAUAAACAACAAAGUGAAAUGAAAAACCUCAAACAAAUCAUCAUGACUGAGAAGCAGCAGCUUGAACUCAGAGAGACUGAAAUAGAAAAACAACAGAAGGAGCUGCAUGACAUUGUGGAGUUUGCAAAUAAUGAGAAGAGCAUUAUUGAAAAUGAAAUCGCUGCAAUGAACAGGGAAAAACAGAACAUGAUGACUGAGUUGAAAAAGAAGUCUGAAGAUGUUGAGCUUCAGAUGAAGGAGGUAUUGACUGAAAAGGAAAUGCUGGAAAAUGACAGACAACUGCUGAAGAGAGACCAGGAAAUUCUGCAACAAAAGCUAGUUAAUGUAGACUGUGACUCUGAUAGUCUGAAACUUGAGAGAGAAGCUUUGGGGAAUGAGAAGGAAGUGAUAAAACAGAUCAAAACUGAAUUGCAAAGAGAAGCAUGUGAGAUUGAGAAGAUCAGACUAGAAACACAACAUGAAAGACAAAGGAUUGAUGAAAUGGCAGCUCAAAUCCAGAAAGAGAGAGAAGAAAUCAAUAGUCUUAUUGUGGAAAUUAAAAAGAAGAGAUAUGUUCUGGAUGAAACCUAUACUGAAAUACAAAGGGAACAAGAAGCAAUCGAGAGAGGCAAAGACUUGAUUAGAAGGGAAUGGUCUGACCUAGAGAAAACCAAAGCGGAGAUGUCUCAAACCAAGGAAGAGAUUGAAAAACAAAAAACAAACAUUGAGAUCACAUUGGCAGAGAUACAAAAAGAGAGAAACAUGCUUGAACAGAUGAGUGAGAAAAUAACAAGAGAAAAAAUGAUGCUUGAAGAUGAAAAGGAAGAAUUAAGAAUAGGAAAGGAAGAACUUGAAAGGAUGUGGGCAGACAUCGAAAGACAACAAGAAGAUACUGAUCACCUGAGGUUUGGCAUAACAAAAGAGAGUCUAUUUGAGAAGUCAGAGGCUGAAAUGGUUCUUCAGACAGAGAGUGACGUGGAUGUAGUCAAGUCUUUAACAGGAAAAGAAAUUUCCGAUCCAGAUGGACAUAGUGUUUCGACGGAGCAGAUGCUGGAAAUGGACUUAAAAGUUGCAUUAGAAACAGAUGCUGAGAGCCAAAAGUCUGAUUUUCCUGAAGUUGAGGAUGAUUUACCUCAUAAACAGGAGAUGAUGUUAGAGAAGAAGUUUAUUGAAGAUGAAAAGGACAAGCUGGAACAGAUGAGAGCUGAAUUACACAAAGAAGCUGAUCACAUUGAAAAGAAAAAGCAGGACAUGCAGAAUGAAAGACAGAAGCUAGAAGAAAUGGCUGCUCAACUUCAUGAAGAGAGAAGUAGUCUUGAACGUCUUAAUGAGGAGAUUAAUGUUCAGAAUUUCAAUCAACAAAAGCAAGCAACAGAGUCUGAAAUGGAGAAGACUGAUUCAGAGAAAAUCAAAACAGAAAUUGCUAAAGCCAACAAACUUCUUGCAGCACAUCAAGAGAAGAAUGAGAUGACAAUAGAAGAGAUGCGGAGAGAGAGAGACACUCUUGAAGAAAUGAGGGUGAGCAUCUCAAAACAAGCGGAGACUAUUACAAAAGGUAAUGAAUACCUUUCUCGCAGAGAAAGUGAACUUGCAAAGCUGCAGGAAGACAUUUUACAACAACAAAAUGAAAUGGAUGAACUGAAAACCACAAUCAUGAUGGCAAUGAGUCAUCUGGACCAGAGACAAACUGACAUUGAUCAAUUACAGAGGGAGGUUGAUGAUCUAAUGGAAUUCACAAAGACAGAAAUGACCAACGUAGAAAGAGAAAGAGUGGAAAUAAUGGCACAGAAGAGAGAUAUAGAGAGAGAUAUGGUCAGUAUAGAGGAAGAAAAGAAGACCUGUGAACAACUGAGACUAAAAUUAUUUGAGGAAAAGGAUCGGGUUGAAAAAGACAGAGAACUGUUGACCAAAAAUUUGUAUCAUAUGGAGAGGCAGAAAAUGGAUAUGGAGAAAGAACUAAAGAAUCUAAAAGUUGAGAAACAAACCAUUCAAAAUGAAAAGGAGGAACUAGAGAGGAUGAAAACUGACCUUCAAAGACAAGCUGAAGACUUGAAGAAACUACCUGAGAAGACAAAGGAUGAAAGACAGAGGGCAGAAGAGAUGGCAGCCAAAUUUAAAAAGCAAUUAGACAUCAGUGGUAUUCCUUCGGAUGAGACAGAGAAGCAGAGUAAGGAAAUUCAGUCAACCAAAGACUUGCUUCGGGAAGAAAGGUCUGAGCUGGAGAAAACCAAAGCAGAGAUAAAACAAGCCAAGGAAGAAUUAGAGAGUCAAAGAACUGACUUACAGAGAGAAAAAGACAUUCUUAAGCAAGUGAGUAUAAAUAAUUUGAGACAAACAGCUCAAAUUGAAGAUGAGAAGGAAAAAAUACAACACAAAGAGUAUGAACUAGAACAAAUGAGAGCAGAACUUCAAAACAAACAAAAAGAAAUGGAUGACAUGAAAAACAACAUAAUAAAAGAAAAAGCUAAUAUGGAGAAUCUGGAACAAAAGAGAGCUGAGUUGGCUAGAGACUUGGAAAAGCUACAAACUGAGAAACAAGCUUUUAAAAAUGAGCAAGAUAAGCUGGAAAAGAAGAGAGAGGAUAUUGAGAAGUUAAAGCUAGAAGUUCAGAAAAAAGGGCAGAGGGCUGCAGAAGAGUUAGAAAAAGAGAGAAAACAAUUUACUAUGGAGAUCAAAAUGAAAAAUGACACCCUGGAUGAAAUACAAGCUGAGAUAGAAAGACAGAAACAAGCCAUUGCUGUAGACAAAGCGAUCAUUACAAAAGAAAAGAUAGAUCUGGAAAAAACCAAGGAACAUUUCAGAAGACAAUCCGUGGAGAGUGACAUCACACGUGCAGACCUGCAGAAAGAGAGAGCUAGUCUUGAUCAGAUGAGUGUGGAGAUCUUUAAGCAAAAACAGGACCUAGAGAGAGAAAGAGGUGAACUGUUAGAACGGCAUCAGCUGAUGGAAACACUAAAAAAGGACAUUGAAAAUGUGGAACAACUCAGAAAAGAGCUUUCGGAUCAAAAAGAAGUGACUGAGAAAAACAGAACACAGCUGAAACAAGACAUAGAUGACAUGGAACAAAACAAAUCAAAUCUGCAAAAAGAAUUACAGGAGAUAAAAGUCCAAAAACAGGAUAUUCAAGAUGAAAGAGCUCAACUAGAGCGAAUUAAAGCUGAGUUAGCAAAAGAAAGAGAAGCAAAUGAUGAAAUGUUGAGAGAGGGUAAGAAAGAAAUGGAGAAAUUGAAGGAGAUGAAAACAAAUAUUCUAAUCCAAAAAGAAGAGUUUGAGACUAAAAGACAGUCAGAAGUAGAGGAACUCAUUGGUAUGAGAGCUGAAAUACUCAAACAGAAAGAGGAAUUAGAGGACAAGAUGCAAAAGACUAAACAUGAGAUGAAAGAAUUGAAGCUUCUUCAGGAUGAAACAGAUGGCAAGAGGAAAGAUCUUGAACACAAGAUGAGACAGGCAGCAAGAAAGAAAGAUGAGCUGGAGAAAAUGAGAGCUUAUAUUGAAAGUGCAAAUGAGAAACUUGAAAUGAACAGGGUCCUGUUAAGUAUAGAGCUUGAUGAGAUGGAGCGAAUGAAAGCUGAGAAACAACGAGCGGGAGAAGAACUACAUAUGGAAGAGAGAGCUGGAGAUCUGGAAGAGAAAGAACAAAUAAACACCAAGAUACAGAGGCUUAUUCAAGAGGCUGAAAAGACUAGAGAAAUAGCUUGGAGAACAAAACAUGACCUGGAAAGAAGCAUGCCGAGAGAUGUUAAUGUUGCGGAUUCAGAGGAAAGGCAAGAAAUGAGUGCUUACAUGCAGAGGCUGAUCCAGGAAAUUGAGCAUGUCAGAGAGGUUCUCAGAAGAAUGAAAGAUGAAGUCAAGGCAGCUAGAAAAGAAAGAUUUGAACUGGAGAACAUAAGGCUGGAAGUUGAAGCCAUGAAACAGAGCAUGAAAGAAACCUAUGAGCAACAGAACAAUGAGAUACAAAAAGAAAAGCAGCAAAUAGAGAGUAGCAAAGACUUGUUGAGCAGAGAGCGAAGUGAUCUUGAGCAAAAUAGAGCUGAUUUGGAGAGACAAAAACAAGAAAUAGCAUUGGACAAACAAAAACUCCAUGAUGAAAAUGAACUGCUGAAGAUAGAAACGGCUGACAUGAAGAAACAAUAUGAAAUUCUCCAAAGCCUUCUAAAAGAAACUAGAGAAAGUGCAGGAGAAACAGUUACACUUUUUAAGAAAAAGAAAGGAAUGGGGAGAGAUUCAGAGGAAUUAAGGGAGAAAAUGGAAGCAUUAAGCAUGGGCGACCAGCAAGAAGAGAGCGAGAGUCAGUUAGAUAAAGUUAAAAGACAAAUAGACAAACUGACAGAGUUGAAGGCUGAGCUGGAUCAACAGCAGGUAGAACUUGAGAAAAAUAAAGCAGACUUUAAACAUCAGAUGGAUGAGCUAGAAAACAUGAGGUCUGAGAUAUUAAAACAUAAAAAGGACACGAGAGAGGUGGAGCUGAUGGAUAUACAGAGACAAAGAGAGGUCCUAGAAACAAGGAUUCAGAAAAUGAUGCAUGAGAAGGGAGAACUGGAAGUCUUAAGGUCUGAGAUAGUCAUAGAAAAGAAAGAUCUGGACCAGAAGAUGAAACAAGUGAUGAGAAAGAGGGAUGAGAUGGAGAAAAUGAAGACUGAUAUAGCAAAGGCCAAAGAGGAGAUCAACAGAGACCGGCAGGAGCUGGAAAUACUCAGGAAUGAUGUUCAAAGCUCAAGAGAGGAUUUUAAACUAUUGGUGGAGAAAACUGUGAAUCUAGAAAAUGAGGAAAGUACCAAUGCAGACAUCCAAAGACUGAUUUUAGAGGUUGUGAAAAUCAGCGAAAUGGUGAGAAAUCUAAAAGUUGACAUGGAGAACCGGAUGGAGGAAAGUAAGGUGGUGAGAGAUGAAAAGGAAAACUUCAAGUCUGAGAUCCAGAGGCUCAUUCAAGAUAUUGGACCAAUACGGGAACAUCUUGGAAGCCUUAGAGAAGAUAUAGAAACCAUCAGAAGAGACAAGAAUGAAUUGGAAAAGAUGAGGGCAGAACUUGUAGAGAAGCAACAGGCAGAAGAGAGCAUGCUGCAGAAAGAAAGAGAAAAACUGGAGCAGCUGAAAGAUGAUAUAAACAGAGAAAAGGAGGAUAUGGAGACCAAGAGAGAGCUGGUUAAGGAAGAAAUAGCUAAAGAAAAAAUGGCAGAGUUCAAAGACACAAGAAAGAACAAGAAAGAACCGCAAAUGGUCACUGAGGAACUCUUGAGAAACAAGAGUGAUGUAGAACAGCUCAACAAAGAUAUAGAAAACCUGAGGCAAACCAUGGAAGAAAUGAAAACACUGCAUGAAAAGAAAAGGGCUGAACUGGAAGGCAUUAUUUCUGAAGUAAAGAGGACAGAGCAGAUACUGGAGAAGCAGAAACAUGAGUUGGAGGAGAAGGGUUGGAUUGUUAAAGAAAUAGAGAAAAAGAAAGACAUACUUGAAAAGAUCAAUAUGGAAAUACUGAGGAAGAGAGAAGAUAUGGAAAAAGAAAUGGACAAUUUAAGGCACAAAAAGCAAGAGCUGGAGCUCUUUAGAGGUGAACUCCAGAGACAGAGAGUUGAUGUUGAAUCUUCAAAACAAGCUUUGAUCAUAGAGAAAGAUCGGUUAGAAGAUGAUCAAGCUGAAAUCAAUCAACAAAGGCAUGAAGUGAGUGCUGCCAUGAAGGCCUAUGAUGUGGAACUGAAAAAUCUAGAAAAGAUUAGGAAUGAACUAGAAAAUGAGAGGGCUAAACUUGACGAAAAGCUCCAUGAUGCCACAAAAUCAGAGAAGAAACUAGAGGAAAUGAAGAGUGUACUAAACAAACAAAAAGAGCAAGUGGAAGUAAUGAAGCAGAUGGUCAUCACAGAGAGACAUUUAAUUGAACAAGAGAAUGCUGAGCUUCAGAAGAAGUCAGAGAUCACUGACAGACUCAUUCAGGAAGCAAACAACGAGAGAGACAGAUUAACAGACCUCAGUCUAAAACUUCAAAUGCAAAGAGAAGAUAUAGAGAAUAUCAUCACAGAAAUAGAGACCAAGAAGAAAAAUCUAAAUAUAAUGAGUGCAGAACUUCAAGAUGAUAAGAUACGACUGAAAAAUGACAGGGAUGUUUAUGAAAGGGAAAUGACACAUCUGCAGCUUAAGAGGGAAGAGUUAGUGAUGGAAACAGAGGACCUGGAAAGAAAAACCUUACAGCAGAAAGAACAAGAUGAGAUGGCGAAACGAGAGAUUCAAAAUCAGAAAGAGGCUCUAGAGCAAAUGAAGGUGGACAUUCUGAAGGAAAGAGAGGAUUUUGACAAAGAGAAGAAAAAUGUACAUUCAGAAAAACAGAAACUGGAUACACAACAAGGAGAACUGCAAAGAAAGGAAUGUGAGCUUGAAAAUAGAGUAAAAACUUUCAUGGAAGAGCAGCAGCAGCUGAAACAGACUCAAGAUGAAAUAUAUAAAAUCAAGAAGGAGAUUCAAAGCAAUCUGGAAAUAAAGGAGGCUGAAAUUCAAGAGGAGAGACAGAGAUUAAUGGAAAUGGGUGAAACAAUGACAAGAGAAUGCAAUGAAUACAGAAAUCUGAUUGAAGAAGUGAAGAAAGAAAAAGAACAGAUUGAAAUCAGCAAAAAGUUGAUGGAUCAAGAGAAGGACGAUCUUGAAAACAUGAAAAAUGAUCUGGAGAUGCAAUUGCAAAAUCUAAGGUAUGACAAACUAAAAGUAGAAGAUGAGAUGAAAGCACUAGAGCAGAUAAGGGCAGAAUCCAAAGAGAUUCAAAAUGUUAUCAAGAAGGAAAGGCAGGAUCAUGAGAAAUGCUGGGAGGAGAUUGAGGAUGAAAAGCAAAGAGUGGAGGAAGAAAUCAGACAAUUAGAGAGACAGAGGGAAGAAACGUAUAAACUUCACAGCGAGUUGCAAAUAAUUAGAGAUGACAUUGAAAGUAGGAAAGAAAAUAUUGAUAAAGAAAUUAAAGAAUUGUUGCAAAUGAGGGUUGAACUGGAGAGAACAAAAGUGGAAAUCAAAAAGGAUAAUCAACAACUUCAAGAUGAUAAAUUUAACCUUGAAAAGACAAAAGCUGAGAUAAAGAUACAGACAGAUAAACUGAUACUACUAGACACUAAUUUAAAGGAGAAAGAAAGAGAAAUGAAAAUCCAACUAGAUAAAGACAGAGAAGAAAUUAAAUGUUUGUCUGAAGAGACUGAAAUGAAAAUGAGGGACCUUGAUAUGACGAUGAAGGUGAUGGAGAGACAAAAGCAAGAAAUUGAGAAAACAAAAGUGAUGCUUGAAAAGGAAAAGACAGAAAUUGGUAAAGAAAAGAAAGACUUGGAAAACCAAAUGAUGGACCAGACUGAGCAGAUAGAAAAGGACAGACUGGCCCUUGAGGAGAUGAAGGAAGAACUUCUUCAUGAAAAACAAGAAAUGGAGGAAGAGAGGAAUAACUUGAUGACUUUAAGCAACAAACUAGAAGUUUUAAGAGCAGAGACAAGGAAUAAGCAAAAUGAAAAUGAGAUUUUGAAGAAGAAACUUAUUUUGGAGAAAUCAAACAUAGAGGAAUUGCAGUUUGAGGUACUUAACCAGCAGCGACAGAAUGAUCAAACCAGUGAGGAAAACAAGAAAGAGAAAGAAGGUCUGGAAAAACAGAGGUUUGAAACUGAACAGCAGAAAAAGAUGUUGGAGCUUAGCAUCAUAAAAAUUAACGAGGAGAAGCAAAAACUUCAGAAAGCCAAAGAAGAAAUGGAAAACAUAAAAUACAUGACCAACAAAGAAAGAGACAAGGUUGAACAAAUGCAAGCUGAGAUACACAGUCAGAUUCAGUCGACUGAACUUCAAAUGCAACUCAUGCAAGACAAGCAGAAUGCUCUUGAGGAAAAAGAGCUAAACAUACAGAGGAGGGAAAGGGAAGUAGAGAGGAGAAACAUAGAAUUAGAUGGAAUCGCUGCUCAGCUUCAAAUUGAACAGGAACAUUUAGAUACUGUUCUUGAGGAAACCAAUAAGAGACAACAUGCCCUUGAAGUGAUAAAACAAACAAAUAAUAAGGACUUUGAGUUGCUUGAGAAGAUACGGCAUGAAAUAGACAACGAAAAGAUAGAAAUGAAGCAGAAACAAGAUGAUCUGCAGAUUUGGACUAAACAACAGAAAGAUAAGGUUCAAGUCCAGUUAGAAGAGCUAGAGAAAGAAAGAGAAAAAUUGGAAAAAAUGAAGAUUCUUGCUGAGAGAGAACAAUCUGAAAAAGAGAGAGCUGAUAUAAAUAGGCUAAAUGGUGAAAUAGAGACAAUGAGACAAACAGUGAUAAUUCAGAAGAGUGAGCUGGAGCAGAGAGAGAAAUAUAUUACUGAGCAGCAGCAAAGACUGGAUCAAAGUGUAAAAGAGGUAACAGAAGAAAGAAGUGAAAUGGAUAAGAUGAGGCUUGAACUAGAAGCUCGGAGACAUCGAAUUGAAGAUGACGUGAACACUAUUGCAAAGCAGGAAAAAGAACUUGCACAACUGAGAGAUGAAAUACAAAGAGAAAAACAAGAAAUUGGUGAGAACAGGAACAUGAAUAACAAGUUAAUGAACGAUCUGGAAAUUAUGAAAGCCAAGCUGGAGGAACAACAAGAAAUGAUCCAAACUGAAACAGAAAAACUCCAAAAGGAAAGAAAACUAGUUGACCAGACAAAAUCUGAGGUUCAGAAUGAUGCUGAAAAUCUGAAAAACGUAUCUGAAGAGAUCAAAAGGAAGCAAGAAAAAAUUGAGAUAAGGGAGGCCCACCUUAACCAAAUGAUGGAGCAAUGUGUCAAUACCAUGGAAGAAACUAAGAGGAAGAAGAGUGAACUAGAAAAGACUAUUGAUGACAUAGAAGAGCAAAAUCAACUGAUUAAGACUGAGAAAGACCAUCUGGAAAAAGAGAGACAUAACAUUGAAAAGGAAAAAGAAGAUUUGCAAAGACGAGCUGAUGACCUGGAGAUGCACAUGACAGAACAAAAAGAAAAAGAAGAGAUAAGUAAAAGGUUGAUGGAUGACGAGAAAAAGCUUCUUGAGGAAAAGGCUGGCGAAAUUCUGAGACAAAGAGAUGAAAUAGAGAAAGAAAAAGAAGACAUGACAAAGAAGUGGGAUGAGCUGGAUGUUCUUCAGAAGAAAAUACAAAAACAAAGAGACGAACUGGAAGAAAUGAAAUAUGAGUUACAAACUGAAAAGACUAAAAUGAAUCAACAGCAGCAAAGACUGGAUGAGAUUAUAAGAGCUGUGAAUGAGGAGAGGAGAGAUCUAGAGAACAUGAGGAGUGAAUGUGAAAAAUACAGACAACAAAUGGAAGAAGAGAUGAGAGUAAAAGCAAAGAUGGAGAGAGAGGAGCUUGAUCAGAAGAAGCGUGAUCUGGAAAGACAGAAAACUGAAAUAGAUAAAGACCAGAAGAAAAUAGAUGAUGAGAGAAAGAUGAUUGAACAGGGGAGAAAUGACCUGGAAAAGAUGAGGUCUGAAAUAAUGACACAAAGAAAGGAAAUAGAAGAAGAAAGAUCAGAACUAGACAACAAAACAAAAGAGACUGAUCUAGUAAAAUGUGACAUUGAAAGGAGCAGAGAAACUGUACAGAAAUUAUUGGAUGAGGUGGAAGAACAGAGAAAUGAUAUUAAACUUAAUGAAGAAGAACUUGAACUUGAGAGACAAAAUAUCACUGAUGAAAAAGAUUUUCUGGCUCAAAUAAAGACUGAACUGCAAAAAGAAAGUGAACGAAUCAGAUACAUGGAAGAGGAAAUAAAGAAGGAGAGAGAAACACUGAAAGAAAUGGAAGCUCAUCUACAAAAGGAAAAGAAAGAAAUCGAGAGUGUCACUGAAGAAACAAACAGACGAAAACAUGAUCUUGAAAGAAUGCAGACAGAACUGAAAAAAGAAAGUGAACAAAUCAGAUACAUGGAAGAGGAAAUAAAGAAGGAAAUAGAAACACUGAAAGAAAUGAAAACUCAUCUACAAAAGGAAAAGGAAGAAAUUAAGAGUGUCGCUGAAGAAACAAAUAGACGAAAAGAAGAUCUGGAAAGGAUGAACACAGACAUAAAUGAGCAAAAACAAGAGCUGAGAAAAUACAGAGAGCUUCUAGAGCAGGAGAGAGAAGAAAUGAAAAAUAAAUGGAUACAGUUACAGCAGAGAAUUGAUAAAUUUGAUACUCAAGUCAGACAACAGAAGGAAAAGGAUUUAAUGANCAAAUGGAAGACAUCAGAGAAGCAAUCAAACUAG